rnacentral:rRNA from 1 species
UGGGGAAUUUUGCGCAAUGGGCGAAAGCCUGACGCAGCAACGCCGCGUGCAGGAUGAAGGCCUUCGGGUUGUAAACCGCUUUCAGCAGGGAUGAAACUGACAGUACCUGCAGAAGAAGCCCCGGCUAACUACGUGCCAGCAGCCGCGGUAAUACGUAGGGGGCAAGCGUUAUCCGGAUUCAUUGGGCGUAAAGAGCGCGUAGGCGGCUUGUUAAGCGAGAUGUGAAAACCGGGGGCUUAACCCGCGGCCUGCAUCUCGAACUGGCAGGCUUGAGUCUGGUAGAGGAGUGUGGAAUUCCCAGUGUAGCGGUGAAAUGCGCAGAUAUUGGGAGGAACACCAGUGGCGAAGGCGGCACUCUGGGCCACGACUGACGCUGAGGCGCGAAAGCUAGGGGAGCAAACA